GCCAUGUUGAAAUGUUCGGCCACAUGUCAGCUGAGGAGAAGAAAUGGACGUCUUGUCGUGGCUUUUCUUUUACCUUUUAUUUUAAAAUAGUAACAAUAGCAAGGUACUAGGCAGUUUUUUUUUGUACUUAAUGAAAAGCAGCAUCUACACACCGAUAUAUAAGGGCACACUGAGGGCCUCUCCAUGCUGGCACGAAGACCUGGACACAUGUGAUGUACAUAAAUGACUCGUAUAUGUUUUGAAAAUAAAUUCUUUAUGUGGUUUAUUUGUUUAACAUGCACCUUUGUGAAUUUUUU